rnacentral:rRNA from 1 species
AUUGAACGCUGGCGGUAUGCUUUACACAUGCAAGUCGAACGGUAACAGGCCUUCGGGUGCUGACGAGUGGCGCACGGGUGAGUAAUGCAUCGGAACGUGCCCAGAGGUGGGGGAUAACGCAGCGAAAGCUGUGCUAAUACCGCAUGUGAUCUGAGGAUGAAAGCGGGGGACCAGGCAGCAAUGUUUGGCCUCGCGCCUUUGGAGCGGCCGAUGUCAGAUUAGGUAGUUGGUGGGGUAAAGGCCUACCAAGCCGACGAUCUGUAGCUGGUCUGAGAGGACGACCAGCCACACUGGGACUGAGACACGGCCCAGACUCCUACGGGAGGCAGCAGUGGGGAAUUUUGGACAAUGGGCGCAAGCCUGAUCCAGCAAUGCCGCGUGCGGGAAGAAGGCCUUCGGGUUGUAAACCGCUUUUGUACGGAACGAAAAGGCUCUGGCUAAUACCUGGGGCUGAUGACGGUACCGUAAGAAUAAGCACCGGCUAACUACGUG